rnacentral:lncRNA from 1 species
GGCGGGGACUUGAACAUUCCAGGCUCUGUGAACUAAGUGACUGAAGCUGAUUGACACAGGUCAAGGGGACUUCAAGGAAGAAAGCCAGCCUUAGACUGACAUCAGAGAACCAAACUCCGGUGUCUAAGCUCAAGAGGUUAGAAUCCUGAGAACUGUUUGGAAUAAGGAAUCCAAAUAUUGUCUUCCAGCUUCACCUUGUCACGACAGUCCUCGCCAGGGACAGCUGAGGAUGGAAACCAGCCCUGCACACUGCUGGCUCUGGAGGCCUGGUAGAUUAACAGGCACCGGACUUACAAUUGGUCUCUUAAGCCUUUCAACUCUUUAGAAGCAAAGGGGAAGGCAUGGAGGGUGCCAUGAAAUCAAAGACAUUGUUCGUAAGCUCCUGGAUCUUAUCAGUGUGAGGAAGUGUUCAAAAAAGUUCUGUCCCCCCUAGAGACAAAAAGACCUCUUCUCUGCCUCCCAGCUCCCAUGGCGCCUCUCUCGAUACGUGGCCUCUUCUGAUACUUACCUCAGCUUGGACACAGCUCUCUGAAGAUCAUCUACAUCUCCAUUUAUGCCGUGUGCACGCAGUACCAACAGAGGUCAGAGGAGGGUGUCGGAUCCCCUGGAACUGGAGUCACAGAUUCUUGGGAGCAUAUCCAAUACUCUGUGACUGCCUAGGCGUCUCUCUCAGUCUAGUCUACAGCUGACAAGAUUAAUCAUGGCAGGUGCCAACAUCUAACUAAUGAUGCCUUGCGUGGAUGAAACAGUCCCAACGAACACUUUAAAAAGACAAAUGUUCCCGACAGCACUGGUUGAAUUCAAAACUCGGCAGAUCCAUGUUCUUAUCCUUAGACAAGAGAGGGGCCAUAACAAGAUGGAAUGACGGAACAGACGUGAGAGAUGAUGUCCACCCAGAGGGUCUGCACUUCUCGGAGCCAGAAGGUGGAGAAGAGUAGGGAUGGAGGAAGUUCGAAGUUUUAGGAGUCUGCUCUUGGGUCCCUAGGCAUGAGGACAAGCUUUUCCUGUACUCAAUGCUCAUCUCUCAGUUGUGCCCACAUUGGUACACAUUACUUGCUUUCAACUGCUGCUGCUGCUGUUUCCUAAUUCAAUAAAGAUAUGGCUGGCUCAGC